rnacentral:lncRNA from 1 species
UUCCGCUCAAGUUCCUCCGCCGCGACCUCAGGACAGGCCGAAGAGGCGCGCACUACUCACGUGUCUUCCAAGUGCUGCUCCAAGGUCGCCUCCAUCCCACCCACCGACCACUCCGGCUCAGAACCCAGCGGCACGGCACGUCCUUCUCCACCACAGGCCUCAGUCACUUGACGCGAGCGGGGCGUGGACCGUAACGGCGCCUCCAAAGGGACAAAAUUGAUCACGGUGCAACGUCCGCGUUCUUUACUGGAAAACAUCACUGCGCUUCCGUCGCACAGAGCCUGACGAAGGCUUGGGCUCCCCGCGCGGUGACCGUCGAGGUGACCUGCACCUGGCUCCAUGGCGGAACCGGCCGGCACGGAUUAUUCCCCUCUCGGGAGAGGUCUGCAGCCGGGCCUCAGUGCUUCAGUUCGUGGCCUGGCAUUUUGUGAAGAGUGUCUUCAUCUCUGCAUCCCUAGUGCAACAGAGCAUGACAAAAAUUCAACAAAUAUUUAUUGAAGAGUCUUGAUGUCUUUUGGGAAAGGAACUCUAUGGUUACCUUUACUCUAAGGAAGUUUUGUUAAAUUUGAGUAAGAAGACCUGUUUGUUUCCUCAAGUUGCUUAUAAUCUAGGUGAGGACACAUCUGAGAGAAUAACUAAUAGUUCAGUGAAGGUAAAAACAACAACAACAACAACAAAAACACAAAACCCUGAGGCUCAGAAGAUAAAUAUUUGCUGAAGAUCACUGUGCUUGUUAGAUGGGUGUUACUGAUUCUUACCUCAGAGAAGAGAAUGUCAUGGAGACAAAAUGACCUGCUUAGAGUUCUGCACCCCCCAGCAUGGAGAGCAGAGCGCAAAGAUUUCUUCCGGACUCCCACAUUCCCCUUGGAAUCCAAGAACUGGUCUACUGUCACAACACUUUAGUACCCUCUUGUAAGCCUGUGGACAAAUCCUCUGAUGCCUUGAUACCUCGGUUUUCCCCCACUAUAAAUGGGAAGAUAAAUUCACUAGAAACAGUACUCCCAAGGAGGCAGCAGAAACUGGGGUAAUCACAACGGUCAACAGCAGCAAAGGCAGCACUUUCUGAUUUACUUGACUGCUAUGGAUGCCACCUCUCUCCACGCCUCAGUUUAAUAUCUGUAAGUUUGGUCAGUAUCUCAUUCAAGAACAUUGCAUUUACUCUGG